GACAGAGGGUGCAAACGUUGCUCGGAAUUACUGGGCGUAAAGCGCGUGUAGGCUGACCGGAAAGUCGGGCGUGAAAGCCCUGGGCUCAACCCAGGAACUGCACUCGAAACUCCCGGUCUAGAGUGGUGGAGAGGGAAGUGGAAUUCCUGGUGUAGAGGUGAAAUUCGUAGAUAUCAGGAGGAACACCAGUGGCAAAGGCGGCUUCCUGGACACCAACUGACGCUGAGACGCGAAAGCGUGGGGAGCAAACAGG
rnacentral:rRNA from 1 species